AUACGAAGGGGGCUAGCGUUGUUCGGAAUAACUGGGCGUAAAGCGCACGUAGGCGGAAUGUUAAGUUAGAGGUGAAAUCCCAGGGCUCAACCCUGGAACUGCCUUUAAUACUGGCAAUCUAGAGAUCGAGAGAGGUGAGUGGAAUUCCGAGUGUAGAGGUGAAAUUCGUAGAUAUUCGGAGGAACACCAGUGGCGAAGGCGGCUCACUGGCUCGAUCCUGACGCUGAGGUACGAAAGUGUGGGGAGCAAACAGGAUUAGAAACCCCAGUAGUCC
rnacentral:rRNA from 1 species